GGGAAUGUGGCUUAGGGGUAGAGCACUUGCUUAGCAUGUAUGACGACCUGGGUUCAAUUCCUCAGCAUCUCCA
rnacentral:tRNA from 1 species